GUCCACGCCCUAAACGAUGCACACUUGGUGUGAGCCAUUCAUUUGGUUUGUGCCGGAGCUAACGCGUUAAGUGUGCCGCCUGGGGAGUACUGUCGCAAGGCUGAAACUCAAAGGAAUUGACGGGGCCGCACAAGCGGUGGAGCAUGUGGUUUAAUUCGACGCAACGCGAAGAACCUUACCUGGGCUCGAACGGCUUUCUAACUGCCAUGGAAACAUGGUUAUCCCGCAAGGGAGUAGAGUCGAGGUGCUGCAUGGCUGUCGU
rnacentral:rRNA from 1 species